rnacentral:rRNA from 1 species
AUUGAACGCUGGCGGCAUGCCUUACACAUGCAAGUCGAACGGCAGCACGGUUGCUUGCACCUAGUGGCGAGUGGCGAACGGGUGUGUAAUACAUCUGAACAUGUCCUGUAGUGGGGGUUAGCCCGGCGAAAUCCGUAUUAUUACCGCAUACGGUCUACGGUUGAGAGCUGGGUGCCUUCUUUCCUCGCUCUAGGGUGAUGGCCGAUGGCUGAUUAGCUAGUUGGUGGGGUAAAGGCCUACCAAGGCGACGAUCAGUAGCUGGUCUGAGAGGACGACGAGCCACACUGGGACUGAGCCACGGCCCAGACUCCUACGGGAGGCAGAAGCGGGGACUUUUGGACACAGGGCGAAAGCCUGAUCAAGCAAUGCAGCGUGUGUGAAGCAGGCCUUCGGGUUGUAAAGCACUUUUGUCCGGAAAGAAAUCCUUGGCCCUAAUACGGUCGGGGGAUGACGGUACCGGAAGAAUAAGCACCGGCUAACUACGUG